rnacentral:rRNA from 1 species
CACGUAGGGGGCAAGCGUUGUCCGGAUUUAUUGGGCGUAAAGAGCUCGUAGGCGGCUCACUAAGUCAGCUGUGAAAUCUCCCGGCUCAACUGGGAGGGGUCAUUCGAUACUGGCGGGCUCGAGGCCGGUAGGGGGAAGCGGAAUUCCCGGUGUAGUGGUGGAAUGCGUAGAUAUCGGGAGGAACACCUGUGGCGAAGGCGGCCGGCUGGGGGUGCCCUGACGCUGAGGCGCGAAAGCGUGGGGAGCGAACCGG